rnacentral:rRNA from 1 species
UUUAUGGAGAGUUUGAUCCUGGCUCAGGAUGAACGCUGGCGGCGUGCCUAAUACAUGCAAGUCGAGCGAACGGACGAGAAGCUUGCUUCUCUGAUGUUAGCGGCGGACGGGUGAGUAACACGUGGAUAACCUACCUAUAAGACUGGGAUAACUUCGGGAAACCGGAGCUAAUACCGGAUAAUAUUUUGAACCGCAUGGUUCAAAAGUGAAAGACGGUCUUGCUGUCACUUAUAGAUGGAUCCGCGCUGCAUUAGCUAGUUGGUAAGGUAACGGCUUACCAAGGCAACGAUGCAUAGCCGACCUGAGAGGGUGAUCGGCCACACUGGAACUGAGACACGGUCCAGACUCCUACGGGAGGCAGCAGUAGGGAAUCUUCCGCAAUGGGCGAAAGCCUGACGGAGCAACGCCGCGUGAGUGAUGAAGGUCUUCGGAUCGUAAAACUCUGUUAUUAGGGAAGAACAUAUGUGUAAGUAACUGUGCACAUCUUGACGGUACCUAAUCAGAAAGCCACGGCUAACUACGUGCCAGCAGCCGCGGUAAUACGUAGGUGGCAAGCGUUAUCCGGAAUUAUUGGGCGUAAAGCGCGCGUAGGCGGUUUUUUAAGUCUGAUGUGAAAGCCCACGGCUCAACCGUGGAGGGUCAUUGGAAACUGGAAAACUUGAGUGCAGAAGAGGAAAGUGGAAUUCCAUGUGUAGCGGUGAAAUGCGCAGAGAUAUGGAGGAACACCAGUGGCGAAGGCGACUUUCUGGUCUGUAACUGACGCUGAUGUGCGAAAGCGUGGGGAUCAAACAGGAUUAGAUACCCUGGUAGUCCACGCCGUAAACGAUGAGUGCUAAGUGUUAGGGGGUUUCCGCCCCUUAGUGCUGCAGCUAACGCAUUAAGCACUCCGCCUGGGGAGUACGACCGCAAGGUUGAAACUCAAAGGAAUUGACGGGGACCCGCACAAGCGGUGGAGCAUGUGGUUUAAUUCGAAGCA